UUCAACUCGCGCAGCAAAACUUGUCUGUGGUUCUUUCCUUCGUUUAGUUGGCGAAGAGGACGAAGUGUCCAUACGGGAAGCAGCGGAGUGUGUUGUGGGAGCCAUGGACUUCAAGGGAGAGCUCCACUUUGACACAAGUAAAUCAGACGGACAGUUCAAGAAAACGGCCAGCAACGCCAAACUGAAAAAAUACCUGCCAGACUAUCAAUUCACCCCCUUCCAUCAAGCCGUGAAGGAAACUUGUGAUUGGUUAUGUGCCAAUUACGACAGCGCCAGGAAAUGAAGAAAGGGACCGUCAGGAUUCGAACCGAGGGUCGCUGCCACUGUCGCCGUUCUUUCAGCAAACUCAGGGAUUCCUUCGCUGUAUCAAAGAAUUGGAAUUUAAAAAAUGGGCAUUUGGGGCUUUGGAAGGGA